rnacentral:rRNA from 1 species
GACGAACGCUGGCGGCGUGCUUAACACAUGCAAGUCGAACGGAAAGGCCCUGCUUUUGUGGGGUGCUCGAGUGGCGAACGGGUGAGUAACACGUGAGUAACCUGCCCUUGACUUUGGGAUAACUUCAGGAAACUGGGGCUCAUACCGGAUAGGAGCUCCUGCUGCAUGGUGGGGGUUGGUAAGUUUCGGCGGUUGGGGGUGGACUCGCGGCUUAUCAGCUUGUUGGUGGGGUAGGGGCUUACCAAGGCUUUGACGGGUAGCCGGCCUGAGAGGGUGACCGGCCACAUUGGGACUGAGAUACGGCGCAGACUCCUACGGGAGGCAGCAGUGGGGAAUAUUGCACAAUGGGCGGAAGCCUGAUGCAGCAACGCCGCGUGCGGGAUGACGGCCUUCGGGUUGUAAACCGCUUUCGCCUGUGACGAAGCGUGAGUGACGGUAAUGGGUAAAGAAGCACCGGCUAACUACGUG